UGGAGAGAGCAGUGCAGCGUGGGAGCAGAGAGCUUAGAGCGCACAGCAGGGAAGCCUGGAGGGAGAGCCAGGAGAAUACAGAGGCUGGCAGAGGGAAGCCUUGGAGCUCUGGUGCUAGGAGAGGAUGAAGCUCACUCUGGAGCAGGAGGGAGCUGUGCUGGACACAGCUGCUUGUACACAGCUGGGUGACCACUGAUGACAUGUAUACCUCAGUCUCCCUGACUGUCUUUGGAACCCAUGGCUAUGGCUUCCCCAUAUUAAUGAGGAAACUCAAACAGUGAGAAGGAUGAUGUCACAAGUCUCUCAUAAGAUUGGUGUGGUGGUGGAGCCAGAACUCAGUCCCAAGCAUUCGGAUUGGAGAGUCAAUGCCUUAAAGCACUGCCCCACAACCCUGUUGUGCUUGAGGGAGUUUUUGCUUCAAAGAAUUCAUGUUUCUUAAUU